CAUAAAAAAUCUGCAGAACAAGGGGUCCAGGACACCUGUGAACAUCUGCAAUUCAGACUGCUCAAUAUGAAACCAUGGGCUUUAAGACAGUGCAUUUUUAUGCACCAGCUUACUACAGAUCUGGCACCGGCCUAGGACACAGAGAAUUGCUCCAGAGGCUAUAAAUGACAUGACAGUGUGUUAACAUGCACCAAAGAGUGUCAAAACGGGUGUGAAGAACACACACAGCAUAUGGUGGGCCUCUUUCAGAUCCUCACGUCAUGGCCUGUGGAGAGAAACUGAAAGACAUACUUUAUGCCCUCAACCAGGGAUAUGCUAAUUGCUGCACGGGCUUGAGGGCCUUAGUUUGGUGGACUCUAAAAUUUGGUCCUGAUCCUUUUGGGUCUGUGCUGUCUUACCAGUGUCCUCCUGAAAUUAGUAGAGACAUUUUUAAGCACACCGGUGCACCCAAGUUUCCUCUAUUUAAAUAUCCAAUGGAUUUUGUGCCCACCCACAAGCAACAGUGCCACUUGGAAAGCCUGAAGAUUUCAUGGGAGAUCUCCACUGCCAUUGAGGCAGAAACCCGACUGCAGACCACAUGCCAGCUGUGGACCCUUGUGCGCAAACCCCGGGCAUACAGCAAGCAAAUUCCACAUGAUAUGCCAUUUUCAUGGUGAAUCCUCUGCCAAAGCCCUGGCAGCCUGCAUUCUGAGAGGAACUCCUCAGACAGAGGCUAUGAAAAGAGGCUUAGAUCUGGAACCUGAGAUAUAAGGUAUUAUGCUGAUUUUUAUCAUGUGUCUGUGACACAGUGUGGGGUCAUCUUCCACCCUGAUGCACCUCACCUUGAAGCCAGCCCUGACGCUAAAGUUUUUGACCCAAAUGAAACUUCACCAUUUGGAUUAGCGGAGGUAAAGAGUUGUGACAAGUUAAACAACUGAUCAAUGUUAAAGGCCUGGCCUGUCUUAAGAACAACCACAAAUAUUAUGAUCAGGUUUAAGGCCAACUGGCUUUAAGUGGGCUUCAGUGGUGUGAUUCCAUAGCAGACACAGAAACGGAUUUCACUGUUCAUAGAAUUUCUAGGGAUGAGGAAAUGAUUUGGUCAAUGCCACCAAAGAUUAAUAAUUUCUACUAUAACAUCUACAUGAAUAACUUGUUAAAUUGUCAAUCUUGGAAUUUAACAUGUUAGGUCUCUAGCACAUGGGAAAGGCCAACUUUUUUUUCUUGCACUUGCACAAAAUGGACAAUUGUUAAUUGUGAUAAUUGUAUGACUUUUUGUAGUUAUUUAUUACAUUACUAAAUGUGUGAA